GUCAGGCAUUUCGAAGCGCUAACGUUUUUUUUUCUUCAUAUUUCCUGAUUCCAUGUGUAAAGGAAGUGAAAUUAGGUACGAGUAAUAUUAUAUAUAUUCAUAGCGUAGGCCUGAUAGUUUUACGUGAUAACGUCAGCAGCAGAACUAUUCGAACUGCUAGCUCUGACAUCACGCGAGGGAGAAAUAAAUGUGUCACAAGCCAACGCUGGGGUCGAUCGUGCCUCUCUAUCGCUUAUUCCGCGCUCUCGCUCGCACGCUCAGGCUCAGGCGGAACGUGACACUUAUUCGCGCGUGCAGCCGGUUUUCACCGAUUUAUAAGAUGUUAUCACGUCCAAAAAGACUUUAAAGAAACUGUUUGAGUUUUUCCUCACACGAUAUAUUCCAUCUUUUGACACACAGUGGAGACGCGGUUUUGCCGAGUGUUAAAAUUCACAAAAUUUUCAGAAUACUACAUAGUCAGUGAUGGUACUUGUUCAGAAUAUUUGAACGCAAGACGGGAUUCGUCUAAGCCAGAAAACGAAACAGCAAGUAGCGCUAAACUAAAUCAAAAUGUCACUCUACAAUUUAACAAUAGAACUGAUAGAUUCGAUUACGUAACUAAGGAACCACUCCGAUCUCAAGAAGCGACUUACAGUACUCUGUACGAGGUGGAUACGGCAUUUGAUCUUCACUUGUGUCCCUACUCGUGCCCAGACACCUACUCCCCGGUCUGCCUGAACGUGAACAGGAAUUACGGGAAAUACUUAAAGAUUUACACAUUUAUCAAUCACUGUUCGGGAGAUCUGUAUUAUUGCAAACAUUGGGAAGAAUUUAGCCCACCACCAGGCGAAGACUCUGAGAAGGUCACCAGUUCAGCGCUAAGUUGGUCCUUUUGCGCCUCAUCGAGGUAAUAGAAGAAAGCCAUCCGGCUUUGGAAUGAGCUCCCCUCCACGGGGUUUCCCGAGCGCUAUGACAUAUCCUUCUUCAAACGAGGCUUAUGGAGAGUACUUAACGGUAGGCAGCGGCUUGGCUCUGCCCCUGGCAUUGCUGAAGUCCAUGGGCGACGGUAACCAUUCACAUCAGGUGGGCUGUACGCUCGUCUGCCUACACGGGCAAGAAACUUUUUUUUUACCAUAAUUUAGUUUGAAACUGCAAUAUGGUGGUAAGGCGUCUUGCGAGCCCAUACAGUUAGGCCUAGUUCUGCCUUAAAACAGUAAUGCGUUGCGGUUUUAGAAGGUGGAGCAGCAAUGUACUAUAAAACCGAGUUAAUCAUUCGUUGACAAUUACAGAUACUUAUUAUUCACUCGAUUCGCGGAAUCGUCAUCGUCGCUUGGCCACUACGGCUGGUUAUCCGGAAACUACCGGUACAAACACAUAAUGGCACCACAAGAACGCAUGCCCGGCUUUGGAAAGUAAACAAAAAAUAAAAAUAUCUCAAAAUAAGUUUAUUUCAUGUAUACCUUUGCCUAUUGUGUUAUAUACUUAUUCUUUUAUUUCAUUUUAUAUACAUUACUCAUAAACUCAAACUUCAUAAUUCAAUUUAAAAAAACAACAUCAAACAAACAAGUUCUUCUUACAAAGUCCAAAUGCUUAAAUGUCAAUAUCUAUAGUCGACUAUAAUACAUUGUUAAAUUCGGAGAACAAAAACUCAUUUAUUUAUAUUUUAGGAGGGAACUUGUGACUAAAAGCAUAAUAAACAGAGCGCGAUAUUUUUAUUUCCCUUUGCUAUAGGG